UUUUAUGGACAGGGGUACUAUUUUAAUGACUUAAAAUAGUUGAGAAAUACUCUUAGUAGCUGAUCUAGGUAAUGCUAGCGUAGCGAGUCUUUUUUUCUCCAAC
rnacentral:ncRNA from 2 species